CCCCUUUAGACUCCCGAUCCCAAAGAGAAGAAGGAGAAGAAGAGAGGUCCCGCACCCCCAAAGGAAACAGAAGAGAAUGAGAUGAAGGAGGGCACCUUGACGCCUCUUCCACUAGUGCUUCGUCAAUGCCCCCCAUCCGAAAGAGCUUCGACAGACUUUGGUCGUUGAACUCUACAAAAGCUUCUACCCCAAGGAUGAGCCCUAGGGAGUCAUCCUCUCUCCCACAGUUAAUUGCUAAAGGCCUGUCCGUAACACUUAAACAACCGCAACCCUUCUGGGCUUGGCCCAAACAAAGCAAACCCCCCAACUUUGGGCUAAAAGGCCAAUGGCCUUCUAAAUACAAUGGUCCUGUAGCCUUAUGGGCCUCACUCAGCACAUUUAAACACCCACCACUCGGCCCAAAAAGAGCCCUUUCAAAUCCCAUCCCAUCCCAUCCGACCCAUCAACUGCUACAGAAUUGAAGGAGACAACCUCACCACCCCAUUUCCUGCAGCCACCAAAAGGCGACUCGUUAACCCCGUCUGUUUGGACCGGGCUCAGCUUCUUCCCUUCCUACUUCACCAAAAUCCUUGCCCACUACAAAUUGGGUGAAAACACCGUAUCUUCGUCUAUCGUAGCAACAGUUCCCAAUCUUCAAGAACACAUCCCUACUCCACUAGUGUGAAGGCAAACCCAACACUCUCACUCAAGCUUCCUUCAUGACUCCCUCCUUUAGCAAACACUCAGCGGCGUCAAGUGUUUAUCUUGUCAACUGCAAUGAAUGCCCCAGAAACCUUUGAGAGCCUCGUGCAAGAACUCUCUCCGCCUCAAAACAGCCAUCAAAAUCAAACAACAGAAGUGCACCCCCAAACAGUGAAAUCUUUAACUCCCCUUUAAGGACCAUUGCUUUGUAGCCCAAAUUUUCAACGUCGACAGCUCUGAAACCAGGACAACGCCUGUAAAACUCUUCCUUGCUCUGGACCUCACUCUCCCCUAGAUAGAGCUAAACUUCGUUUCCAACCACGCCCCCUGUCUUUUAACUAUGUCUACAAAAGGCACAACAUUAGUCUCCAACCUAGGACUGUUCCUUCUCUCUGUUGAGAGGCCCACUCUCCUGGCCUCUGUUGUGGGAAUGACACCUAACGAACGAAGUUUCUUCGCCAAAAGGAUCCAACCUGCACAAAGUCCCCUCCCCUCAGGAAAGACUAAGGAAAACUUCUUAGCCUUUGCAGUAAUAAGCAUAAGAUGAAUCUACCCGCCCCAUUCGCACGACACUCUAGGUUGAACUUCCUCCCAUUCUCCUCCCAAACAUUGUUCCACCUUCUCAGCUCGUCAUCUCUACAGUAAACUUUCACCCCCUUCAACAAGCUUCUCAAACUCUGAUCCCCGAACCUAAUCCAGACUGAAAAGCCCCUUCCCCGUUCCACAAUAACUCCUCUCAACCUCCCCACAACCUCCUCUACAGAAAGAUCGAAGGAAUUAGAGUCCAUUGCAAACCAACUCCGACCUCUCAUGACAUAGCUAACAAUUAUUAGGGUCUCCAUAAUGGAAUUGGUUGGUGCUACACUCUAUUAAACUGUGCUGGAUUUUUGCUACAAAAGAAAUACCUUCCCUUCAAUUCGAAAAAGUUCUGCAACUACCUUUUUGAACCUUAGGUACCUUAAGGUAUGAUAUAAGAUGUGUUUGAAAUAUUAGUUGCUUUUUUAUCGAAGUUGCAAAUUGCUUGGUUAACUAUUUGACAUGCAAGGCAUAGUACUGUUAUUUAUCAACUAGUCUUUAAUUUGUUCUUUCAGUUAAGCGGGAGUCAAUUAUUGUGAUUGACAUUGUCCAAGCAAAUGAUUUUAAGAAAUUUGAAAACAUGGAAAACUUGAGGGAGUUGUCCUUAAGAUCUUAUUAGGUUAAUCAAAUUAAUUUUCUUUACACAUGUAAACUUCAACUAUUAGGUUAAUCCUUAGUUUAAAGACCAAUUGAGAUUAGCAUGGAACUUGUCUACUUCUAAUCUACCAUUUGAAUUGCAUAUAGAUAUGAACAUGACAUUCAUUUUUUAUAGGUUAGUACCUUUUGAACCUCAGGUACUAUUGGUUUCAACCCUAAGUACUAUCUUCGUGAGCCUUAUGUACUAUCUUUUUCUUCGUCUGGUACUACCUUUUCCCUCCUUAGGUACUACCUUUCUAAACAGUAGGUACUACCCUUCUAACCUUAUGUACACGAGCGAAUCCAUUACUAACUAGGCGAAUCAUUUUUUUGUGCCCUUUUUUUCUAUUUUUUGCUUGCUGCUCUUUGUAUACAACCUGUAUACUCUUGCACGCUUUUUGCGUUUUUAUUAACACAAUCUCUUUAUAUAAAAAAAAGAGUGAAUCUAUUGUUUCAUGGCCACUUAAAAGAAGCUGGGAACUUAUGUAUAUAUGUGCUACAUGUCUUAUAGUUCCAUUUAUGUCAUCGAUAAUUUAGAUAUAUGACAUAAUUUUGUUAUAGGUAUUGCCUUUUCCUUGCUUAGGUAUUAUAUUUUUAAACCUUGGUAUUACCUUUUUCAACCUUAGGUACCCCCUUUUUAUUAUUUAGGUACCACCUUUGCGGUUGAAGUAUGAUUGAAUGAAUUUUCAUGACCAUUUGAAAAUAAGUCUUGAACUUAUCAUGAACUUAUCUACAUAUGUGCUACACGUCUUAUAUUUCCAUUUAUGUUAAAAAAGAAUGUCAUUCUUACACCUAAGAAUGACAUUCUUUUUUAACCUUUAGCUAAUAUCUUCUCUUUCUUUAGGUAGUAUCUUUUUUAAUUUUAGGUAUUACCUUUUUUGUCUACCUCAAUUCUUCUAUACAGACAGAAUACAUAAUCUCACUUUGGAACGACCAUUUGAGAAUGUAUUUGCAAAUUGAAACUCAAAAAUACCUUUUGACACAUAUGAUAGUCCAAGUUAUCGAAAUUUUAUUUCCUUUUGUAGAAUAUUAUUAUCAUCAAGUAUUUAAGUUAUCCUCUAUUUUUAAUAGUGGUAUGUCAUUUCUUCAGCUCUUUUGUAUGCAUGCUUUUAAAGGUGAUUGGUUUCUGAAUUGGUGCGGGAUUUUGAGGCAUUUGUGGAGGAGCACUUCAAUCAAUGCUCUCAACAUUUUCUUCUACCUUAUAAGGCCUACAUGGAAGGAGCUCCGGUGGGGUGUGAUUUUUAACACCAGAAAAUUGCAGAUGAAAGUCAAAAGGGAUGCUCUACAAGUUUCGAGAUCAUGCCCUAAUGCCUAACUUUCUGGAGGCCUUUUCUGCUAGAGGAUUUGAUUGCGGUCAAUUGUUGAAAUAUAAAUAAGAUUUCUGUAACCCAUUUUAGAGUGAUUAUAAGAAGGGGAAAAAAUUUCAUUUAUUUCUGGAUUUCUGUAAAAAUAUAUUAUUAAAACAUUUUUAGAUUUAAAGAAUCAUCUCAGGCGAUUAUUAUUAUGAUCAAUCGAUUACAAAUGUUAUGGUAAUCCGUGUGUGAAAGAGGCAAAGGAGCAACAUGAUCAAACAAACCUUCAGCCAUUAUAUGAAGUCCCUUCAAUCCAGAAGUCCAGACAACAAAUAUUGAGCAAUCUGAACACCUCUGACAAUAUUAUCAAUAUUCAUCAUAUUAGCAAUAUUCUACUAUUCAUUGUUCCUGCAAUUCCUGAAGCCACAUUUCAAUGAGGAAAAUAAGGACUCAGAUAAUUCACAAAAUAAAUGAUAUAAAGGGAAGAAACAAAAUACGCACCAGAGGCACGUUGAAGAGAUAAUUGAUAUUGUUGAAACACAUGGAAAGUGGUUGAAAUGGAAGAACCAUGUUCUUCUACUGCUCGAUAUUUUAUUUCUGCCCAGAAUUUAAGAUGAUUAAAUGGGAUUUGGCAUGAUUUCUCCAGGGUUUCUUUUGGUCUCGAUUUCAUAAUGAAGUCAAAAACACAUUGAUCAGUAAUCAGUAAUCACCAUCUGGAUUCUCCUCUGCAUUUCAACCAUGGCGAAAUGCAAAAAGGAGACGGAGGUUCCCUGAAUGGGCACAACAGGUUUACAAAUGCCAUGCCAUUAACAUCACAUCAGAUAGAACCUCAGAGCAAUCCAGACCCUCUAAUGGGUAUUGUUGAUACCAGGUCAACCGAGGAAGGAUUCCUCCCUUGGUUGUUGCCGCAAAAGCUUCUGCAAGAUGAGAGAGUCCUUGGUAUUGCGUACCUGAGUUCUGUUUGAGUGGAGUUUUUAUAGUGCUCAAAGGGGGAAAGCACAAAAGUGCUUAGCUGCCGCCUUGACCUAAUGCUGCAAUGAUGAUUGUGUAGUAAGUGACAUGACAAUCAUUGCAGUUGCAAGGCAGUUGGUGACUGUGUCAGAUGGUAUGUCAUGACGUAGCUUGCCGUCAUUUAAGUAUGUUGAAGGUAUGGGUGAUGGGCAGGAUGACCCAUUGAUGUUGAUGUAUGGAUGCGGAAGGUCCCAUAAGUCACUCCAAUGUUAGAAUGCCGUCGUUUCACAUAUCAGGGAGGAUUUGGGGCUAUCAAGAGGACGGGGUUCGCUCAGUGGCCCCAAAUGGUCAAGAUAAAGUGCUUCAGGGCGCCUCGAAGGUUGUUCGGGUAGUAAUGGAAGGAGUGACAUGUGGUUCAAUAAUGGUACUAUCACGUGAACAGACACGUGGAUGUACACGUGGGCAGACACGUGGAAGAAGGUUCCCAUAGGUAUGUACAAAAACAAGGCUUAGUGUUUAUAGACAAUGAACCAAGAAUUGGUGAAAUUGGAAAUGUAAAAUGAUUGAUUUUGAGAAGCAUAAAUGUUACCCGUACGAUGCAUUCAGACUUUGAAAAAGGUGAAAAAAAGGUAGGGUGUUGCAAGAUUUCUCUAGGUUUCUUUUGGUCUCAAUUUCAUAAUGAAGUAAAAAACACAUUGAUCAGUAAUCACCAUCACGACAUUACCAUUUGGAUUCUCCUCUGCAUUUCAACCAUGGCGAAACGCAAAAAACAGACGGAGGUUCCCUGGAUGGGUGCAACAAGUUGCCUAAUGCCCAAAAUCUGGCCCAACCCAAAUAACCUUUAAUUUAUUAAUUUAUUUUUUAUGUGUUGAAAACCCCAAAGGCUAAAUUUAGGUAUCAUCCAUGGUAAGACUCGAAUCCAAAAUCAAGUACCACUUACUCACAUCACACUUCCUAAUGUUCGCUUUAACCAAUUGGGAUACCUUAACGGGUCCAAAUGAAAUUUCUAUUUCUAGAAAAUUAGGGUUCAAAUAUAUUCACUAUCAAUAAUAAGAAAAUUUAAAUCUACUUAUAAAGAAAAAAUCUAGGAUAUCAAAUUUGCAAUCUCAAUCACUGAAAGUAAAGUAUAUGGUAAAAUUUAGGGUUAUUUGAAUAAAAGCAAUAAAAUAAUCUCAUAUUUUUAAAUAUGUUGCUUUCCAAUUUUAAACAUGAAAGGGAUUGGAUUUACAAAUUUAGAAUCAUUUCAUAUUUUUUAAUCAAAUAAUUCUAAAAUUUAAGCUAUUAAAUACAUAUAUAAAUAAGUGAGAUCAAAUACAAAUAAAUAGAUAAAAAUAUAAACAAAUUAAACCAAUAUAUAAAAUAAUGAGAUAUAAAUGAGGUGGAAAGUAAUAAAAUCAAAUUAUAAACGUCACAUAUUAUGAUUAGACUCAAUUUUCAAUAAAUGUCAAUUUGAUAUUGUAAUCAAACCUAUGUAUUAAGCCAAGUAAAUAUCAGUAAUUUUAAAUAUUAAUGAAGUAAAUUUGUGAAGACAAUUGAGAAUUCGUUUGGUAAUGAUUUUAGAAAGUGGUUUUAGUCUAAAAAAUUCUUUUGAAAAAAAUUACAUGUUUGACUAAAUUAUGAGAUUUCUCUAUGCUUUAUGAGCUUUAUCAAGAGAUUUCGCACAUGUUAUGAACAAAUAAUUACUCAACUCAUCAUACAUCAUUGUACAACAAGUUUUUUUUUUUUUAAAAAAAAAAAGAAAGAAUGAGGCAUGACUAUAUUAUAGUUGAAAUUAAAAAUAAAAAUAAAAAUUGAUGUGUAUAUAAUCAUAUGAGAGUUAAGUUAAACUUUACUUUGGUUAUGUUUAAAGAUGUGUUGUUAAGUGCUUCAUUUUAUUUUAUUUUUUAUUGAGAUUUGAACCUAAACCUGUGCUCGAGAUAAUUGGCUAUAUGUUUCCGAGAGAUCUAUGGAUUUUCAAGGAACAACUUUUGAAUUGACCAAACUUUUAUCCUAAAGAGAAACCAAUAUCUUUUUUCUUAACAUAGACUUGCCCAACCUUAGGUGAUGUGCUUACAUGACUCUUCCUAGUCUUAAACUUUGUGUGGAACUUCUUUUCUUUCUUUGUUUUUAGGAUUUGAUUUAUCAGGAAGUUUGACUCACUCACUAGAGUAUAACACAUGAUUGAAACCUAUUGAAGAGUCUAUUAAAGGAUCUACUUUUGUCAUGUCCAGGUUUGUUGCAAACAGUGCAGUGGGGAGUGGAGCUCGUGGAGGACUUCAAAGAUAGAGCACUUUCCUAGGCCUUAAGAAAGGUGUUUUUUCCACUAGGAGUCUCAUAUCUUUAUUCACAUAAUCUAGGCCUGUUUUAUCUUUAGUGAACUUUACCUUGCUAGUUAUUUCAUCAUUUGUCCUUUGGUGAAACAUCUCAUUUUUAGAUCCGAAAUCCUUUCUAAUUUUUUUUUUUUAAUUUCUAGAUAUAUAUAUAUAUUUUUCUCAAUCACAUUCUCAUGUUCACAUUCAACAAAUUUUAUUUUGUUGACCUUUUCAGUGUUUAGUGAGUUGUCUAAUUCAUUAACUUUUAAGGCCCUAUUAUGUAGCUUAAUACUAUCUAUUUUAAUUUUUACACUUUCUUCAAGCAGGGAUUUAUAUGCACUGUAUAAACUAGCAAGCUCACACUUAAGAUCAUCAACAUAUUCUAUAUCAUGCAUGAGAUCAGAGUCAGAGUUUAUUGACUCAACAAAAGCAAGAUAAUUAUCAUUUUGAUCAUAUCUACUAUCUCCUUAGUUUGAAGACUCACCAUCACUUAACUCAGAAUCACUCCAAGUAACAAGCAUUGUUUUCUUAAUAUUUAUGAGAACAAGAAUAAUCCACAACCAUGUGUCCCACUCCUCCAUAAUUAAAACAUUCAACCUUUUUAUUCUUUGAUGAUUUUUUUUUCCUUUUCUUUCAUAUUAUUAUCAACUCUUUUUCCUCUUAUAGAGUUUGUUUUGUGAAAAUUUAUUUGAUGAUCUUUCCUACCUUUUUUUUUAAAACUUUUAGACAAGAGUGAAAGCUUAUCAUAUGUUAAAAAUUGAUUAUUAGAUUUUUCAUCCUCUUUACCUUCAUUCUUAGAAGCUUUGAAGGUUGCCUCCUUAGGAUUUUGAAAACCAACCAUGAUUCUAGUUAGUAAGCCUUUGAAUUUUGUACAACUUUACAACAAAAGUUCCCUAUUGUGUAAUUGAUCAUGAUGUCCUAUGUCUAUUUAGUAUGUUUGCAUGUGACUAUCCUGCAAAAACUUAUCAUGACUCACCUUAUUAAAAAUAUAGAGAGCUGAGUAUUGGUCUCACUACCCUUUUUGUCCACUUUAUUCCAUUCUUAUUUGGAUUUUAGUUCAUCAGUUGAUCGACCUAUUCUAUCCAGUUUUAAUGAUGAUCCCCAGUUGAAUCUAACCAUAUUCUAAACCUAUUCCCUCUACUUUCUUAAAAAGAAUUCUAUAUAUGCUUUCCAAUGAGGAUAAUUAUUACCAUCAAAAUAAGGUGGAUUAUUUAUAGAAGAUCUCAUUCUUUUAUGGUUUAAUGAUUUAAGAUCUUUAUGUUUUUUUAUUUUUUUAUUUUUUGGCUUUGAUACAAAUUGAGAGCUUAAGACCUUAUACCAUGAAACUAUCUAGAGAGAGGGACUUUAGGGGGGAAGGGGAGUGGGGGGAAGGGGAGCGGGAGAGCUUUUGAAUAGAUAAUCUUGUAAUAUUUGCCCAAAAUAUCGAAAUUUUAGUUUUUAUAUGUUAUUUAAUUGAGAUAUAAUUAAUCAAGAAAAACAAAUUAAGAACAUUCAAUCGCACAAAGAGAUGCAUGAUUUACAUGGAAAACUACUCACAAAGAUACCUUACAAAUGUAAAUUAAAACCAUGGCUUUGAGACCAUAAAGUUAAAUUCCAUUAAAUAUAAAAUUAGGUAUACAGUUUUACCUUAUAGUUGUUACUUUUUUUGAGACUUAUAUUAUUAGUACCUACACACAAUAUUUUUGUGCUCCUCUGCUUCUUAAUUUAAAAUUCUUUUCCAAAUCAAGUUUAUUCCGAAUUUCUAAAAAAGUCCACUUUAUAUCUUUUACAUCUCAUUGUCCUCAAUUAACUCAACCAUACUUGUUAAUUUUGGGUUGAUUUUGCUGCAAUAUUUAACCUUUAUAGGCAGUGUAAAUCACAAGACUGCAUGUAGAGCCCUAAAUCAAGAUGAAUAAAACAAAAUUGUCAACUUAACUAAAUAAUCUAAUUGGUUUCAAAACACUAAGGUUGUGUUUGUUUUUUGAUUGAAUAAAAAAAACCAAAAUAUUUGGUUUUUUCUAUUCAAUUAAAAGUAACCUAUUGAUAUUAACCAAUAAAACUAAAUUAAACCUAUUGAUAACAAGUUUAUUUUAGUUAUAUUGGUUGAUAUUAAUAUGUUACUUUUAGUUGAAUAGAAAAAGACAAAAUUAAUCAAAAGACAAGAAAAAAAAAACACCACCUAAGCAUCUACAAAAAAAUACAAAAAAUUUAAGAAAACAGGACAACACCUAGAAUUGAGGUAUAGCUUAAAGAUGAGCUAAUAAGGGAUGGGAUACACAUCAAAUUGAUCAAAAAUAUCAAAGAAUAUAAGGAGCGGGGAUCAAUCUUAGUGCUCAUCACUAGAAUUUUGAAAUACAUGCAUAUUUUCUAGGGAUGUAAAAAUGGUGCACAUACAAUGUUCAAAAUAAUAUUAAUAAUGAUAAUCCAAUUUUUUAGAAUUGCUUAAUUAAUUAAAUGAAUAAAAAAUCUGGUUUUAAAAAGGAAUGCACUCAAAUCAAUAUAAUGAAAGAACUUUAUUAAACAAAUUAAUUGUUGAUUUAUUUAUUGUUUGAACCAUGCAAGUUUUUGAAGGAAAACCCAAGUCAAUACCCUUAAUCUAUGUUGUUUGAGUUUGAAUAGAUGUGAUUACAGACUCACCAGCCAGUCCUUUUAGCCAUGGCCACUAAUUCAUACUUUCAUGUGUGGAAAUCUUAUCUGCACUGUGGUCAAGUUGAGCUAUAAAAGUCUUAUGAAGACAAUCUGCUACUUCAUUUUAAAGACUUAUUGUAGAUUAGUAUAAUCAGUUGCAUAUGAGAUUGUGGAAAACUUUGCAGCCUUUACUGAGUCACAUGCUUAAAUAUAAUAUUUGCUCUAUGAUGUGGCAGAUGAAUGCAAAUUGAUUAGCUGAAAGUAAUUUGGUUAUGGUGGGAGGAAAUUUUGAAACUGAUGAUGAGGAUUCAUUAAAUUGUGUAGUCACAAUUUUCUUGGUCAGGAUUUGAGUUGAUUUUGUGUAGAGCUAUUCAGAUGAAGCCUCUUUUAAAUUUAAAUCAUGUCAAAAUUUAAUAUUAAAUUUCUAAUAAUGAUUUUUCACUCACAGUUUCUAAUUAGUAUUUCUGAGUGCAACAAAUUAAAAUAUGUUGUUUUGGUAAUUAAAUUACUUUUAUUUUUUAAAAUAUUUUACGAAUCAAUAUUUUUUACUAUUUCUUAAUUACCCAUGUUGAUAAACAAAUUUUUUUUGUAAUACUCAUCCUUGAAAGUUUUGAUGCACUUAAAAACACAUAAAGUCAAAAAACUAAGACGUGUUUGUUUGUUCAGCCUUUUAUUGAAAGUAAUUUGUUUGUGAAUUUUAAAUUGUUUAUUUUUUUUUACUUUUUUGUUAUAACUUUUUUAUAGAAUAGAAAAAUUCAAAAUAUUUGACUUUUUCUCUAAAUGGAUAAAAUAAUAUGUUGGUUUUUCUUGAUUUUUUUUAAUACAUAAUAAAAAUAAAAUAUUAUAAAAACAAAUAAUCUAAUACUUAACAUUAUUAAAUACUAUUUAGUUUUAAGUUUUAUUUUUCUCACUAUUAUUAAUAUUAUUAUUUUUAUAUAACUUAAUACAUACAUAUAUAUAUAUAUAUAGAUAUAUCUUUUAAAGAUAAACAUCCAUAUGAUUUGAAUGACAAUUCUAACUUCAAAAAAUUUGAAAAUUCAAAACAACUUCAAAAAUUUGUAACAUUGAUAAUGACUUCUUUAACACUUGUGGUUACGGUGUAUAUAUUUUAAAGAUAAACAUCCAUGUGAUUUGAAUGACAAUUCUAACUUCAAAAAAUUUGAAAAUUCAAACAACUUAAAAAAUUUGUAACAUUGAUAAUGACUUAUUUAACACUUGUGGUUACGGUGUAUAUCUUUUAAAGAUAAACAUCCAUGUGAUUCGAAUGACAAUUCUAACUUCAAAAAAUUUGAAAAUUCAAAACUACUUCAAAAAUUUCUAACAUUGAUAAUGACUUAUUUAACACUUGUGGUUACGAUGCAAUGACUUUUCUUCAAUUGGGUCCAUCUGGUGUACUUUCUUAAAUGGAUUAUCUUUUUAUUCAACAUGUAAGUAUAAUUUUCUUCUAUCAAUCUUAAUCAUAUCUUUUUUCAAACAUGUUUUUAUAAACAAUAUGAUUAGUACACACUUUAGGGAUUGUUGUCAUAUGUUGACAAACUCUCAUCUUCCUUUUAGAUAAAGGCAAGAUUUCCUAUCAUUAUGGUCAAGGCUUGAUGAAAUCCACGAGUUGUUAUAUUAUAGUAAUACUAUAAAAUAUAUACAAAAAGAAUUAAAAAAUAACUAAAACCUAGUACUAGCUUUGUUUAAGCUGUUAGAUUAAUCUGAUAAAGGUAUAUUAAUUUCCCAUGUCAUAGUCCUACACUAAUCUCUCCAAUUUUGACAAUUCUUCUUUCAUAGGCAUAGGGUACUUUAAUUUUCUUUUUUUUAGGAAAAAAAUUGUUCUUUCAUAAUGGCCUUUCCUUGUGCACUUCCCUAUAUAAAGGCAGAGAGCAAGGUACUCUUGGCCACAGAAAACAAUGGCAAUACAAAGAUAUUUUCACUUUAGCCUCCUCCUCCUUAACUUAGCCACCAUUAUCAUAGCUGCUGAAACAGUAGACUAUGGAACUGCUUUGCUCAACAGAAGCAGCUUCCCAAAGGGUUUCAUUUUUGGAACAGCCUCAUCGGCUUAUCAGGUAAUGAUUUCAUAGGUUUAGACUAGUUAUUCUUCCUGUCUUUGCUCAUCUCUUUUGUGGUUUGUUUUUUCAGUACGAGGGUGCUGCAUAUGAGUAUGGCAGGGGACCAAGUAUAUGGGACACUUACACUCAUAAAUAUCCAGGUUAUUUUCUCUCCAAAAUUGGGAGAAAAUAUUUGUUUUCUUUUGUUUUCUUUGCAUCAAUGCCUUCAUGGUUCCAAAGCAUUCGGGUUGUAGAGUUUAGCUUGACUUUUACAUGGAUGAGUUUUUUUUUUUUUCUAUUCAUUUAACUUCUUUAAAGUACUUCUUUGGAUUACAAAUGAAGAGGAAAAAAAUUCAAUGGGCUAUUCAAGUCUAUAAAUCGUAUUGGUAUGAAUUAAGUUAAUUAGGUUUUCAUGUGGAAGAAUUUAUUGUUAACCAAAUCACACACACACACAAAUAGAAAAAAAAAUUUGGAUUUUUAACUUAGUUUAGUAGUCAAUGUGAUCCUUACACAGAAUGCACCAAUAUUUAACAAUCUACUAAUAAAGAGAAAUAAGAAGAGUUACAAUGAUGAGUUGAUUGGAUAGCUCAAUCCCCACGAGCUUAGUAGGGAGCUCGACCCUUGCAAGUUGAUCAAUAGUUUUAAUCAUUAUGGAUGUCUAUAUUCAAGUGAAAAAGUACUACAACUAGGAUGUGAUAUGUGAGGUUAUUGAUGAGGAUAUGUCAUAAAAUCGAUAUUUUUGUUUUACUUUUCAUUACACCUUUCCAAAAUCAAAUCCAAAUCAAGCCUAACCUACCCCACUUUUGUCGAUUCCCUUGAAAAGGAAAAAUUUUUAUAAAAGAAAUGAGCAUAAAAAAAUUAUUUAAUGUAUUCUUCUUUUGAGAAAAUUUUUGGGUGUAUUGCAGAAAAGAUAAAAGAUCAUAGUAAUGGAGACGUGACUAUCGAUGCAUAUCAUCGCUAUAAGGUAUGGUCUAGAUGAUUAAACCUUUGUAUUUAACUUUCUCAUAUUUAAGGAUCAAUACUGUUUCCUUACCUACCAUAAGAUUGCGAUUAGAUCAUUACCAAUGAUUUUCAUUUUGUAAAUAUGUGACAGGAAGAUGUAGGGAUCAUGAAAGGAAUGAGCUUGGAUGCUUACAGAUUUUCAAUUUCAUGGUCUAGAAUUCUUCCAAGUAAGAUUAUAAUUUCUAUUAACCAAUUUCCAAGGUUGGAUAACUAAAGUGUUUAUGUAUUGUAUUUAUAGAAUUAACUUAAUAACAUUAUUACUGAAAUUUUAUUGAUUUAAUGUAAAGCACUCAAAAAAAAAAAAAUGCUCUUAUAAUAAUUUUCACUUAAAAAAAUAAAUAAAUUACAUUAGGAGCCCCUCUAAUUUGCUUUUUCAACCCACUCAAUAGCAUUCAUGUCAUUUUUUCAAAAAUAAGGAUAUUUGUCUUUGUAUAUAUAUAUAUAUAUAUAUAUAUAUAUAUUUUUUUUUUUUUUUAACAAAAAAAUCACUUUGGAGAAGCUUUUCAUCUUGAAUAUUCAAUAUUAGGGAUUUUUCAAUACCAAACUUCUAAAGAGAGAUCCAAUUGCAUUUGACUAAUAUUUUUAAACUAUAGAUGGAAUUCAAACUCUUUCCUCAAAUUUUUUCUUUUUCUCUUUUCUUUGUUGCUUAAACCAUAGAUGGAAAGUUAAGUGGGGGUGUGAACAAGGAAGGAAUCGCAUACUACAACAACCUUAUCAAUGAGCUCCUUGCGAAUGGUACUCAAAAUUCAACCUUACUCUUCAUCACUUUUUAUCCCUCAUUUUUACAAUUAAAAUUAAUUGGAUUGUUUGCCGUCAUGAACAGGCCUACAGCCCUUUAUAACCCUCUUCCACUGGGACCUUCCUCAAGCCCUAGAAGAUGAGUAUGGUGGUUUCUUAAGUCCCCUCAUUGUGUAAGUUAUUCAACUUUUUUCCCAUGCUCUCUUAACUGCCCAUGCAUUAGACAGCCUUUGUUACAUAAUAAUAAUAUCAUUUUUGCAGUCGAUAAUUAUUUUUGACACAACCUAAAAACAAAAGUCAAAAAUCUUAUAAAAACUUUAAUAACCGUUUGUUAAUGUAAUGUUUUAGGGAUGAUUUUCGAGACUAUGCAGAGCUUUGCUUUAAAGAAUUUGGGGAUAGGGUGAAGCAUUGGAUCACAUUGAAUGAGCCAUGGAGCUAUAGCAAUGGUGGGUAUGUAACAGGAAACUUGGCCCCUGGUAGAUGUUCUGAAUGGCAAAAGCUGAACUGCACUGGUGGAGACUCUGGAACUGAGCCUUAUUUGGCCUCACACUACCAACUUCUAGCUCAUGCAGCUGCUGUCCAAGUUUACAAGAAAAAAUAUCAGGUACUGCUUAUCAAACCUAUUAACUAAUUAUAUAAAAAUUGAAAGCUUGUAUAAUAAUUGCUUUUAAAAAUAGUUUUGAAAAAAAGUUUUAGUUUUUGAAACCGUUUUGUGAUGUUUUAUAUAAUAAAAAUCUAUUUGAAAAUUUAAAAUGUUUUUAAUCUAUUUUAAAUAUUUUAGAAAUAAUUUAUAUGUUUAAUGUUUUAUCUUUAAUUAUUUUAUAUGUUUGUAUAAUUAUUUUUAAAAAUAACCCUUAAAAAACAAGUGAAAAUGACUGAAAAUAAUUAACUUAUCAUUUUUUUUUGUAUGACUAAUCAAUCAUUAAUUGUGUGGAUUUUAUUUAGGCAUCUCAGAAGGGGAAGAUUGGAAUCACUAUAAUCUCACAUUGGUUCAUACCUUUCUCAAAUACGACCAAUGAUCAGAAUGCGGCAGAGCGAGCUCUUGAUUUUAUGUAUGGAUGGUGAGUAUGUAUCAAUCACAUGUGUAUUAUGCAUGCUUUUCGAAUAUAUUUAUUGAUAAAACAUUAUGCAUAAAUACUUUAAAUUUUAAAAAAUAAAAUAAAGUUUAGGACAAGUUUGAUACAACAAGUAUUUGUUCCAAUUCUCAAUCAUAGGUUCAUGAUGAGAAUAGAACUAAAAAUUUUGGUGGUAUAUUUGGAAAUGUUUUGAAAAACAACUUGAAGAAAAAAAAUUGAGAACAAUUCUUAAAGAAUGUUAUCUAUUAUUUUCAAGGACAAAACUUUAUAUAGGGAAUCAAAUAUGAAUAAUAAUUUUCAAAACUUAUUCUCAAUGAAAGAAUUAUACAUUUGUAUAUAAUGUAAAAGUUUUUAAACUGGUCUCCAUAUUUUUCAACAAUUGCCCUAGAAAUUUUACAAAUAAAACCUGAAAUUUAUUCAAAAAAUUAGCCUACAUUUGAGAACAAAUUCUUAGAAAAUUGUUUUUAUUAGAAGUUCAUUAAUUAUGUUUUUUGAAUUAGAAAAUUGAAUAUUUUUUAAAGAGUUGAAAACUAUUUUCAAGAAAAGUUUUCAAACAGCGCCUCGUUGAUUUCUAAUAAGAUGGGCCUAGUAUCACCCAACAACCAAAAAUAAAUCAUGUUUAACUAGAAACGUAGAUGUUUUUUUUCCAUUAGUUGAUAAAUUGUUUUGCUCUAUGUGAAUUUUCACUGUUUAUUGAAGGUAUAUGGACCCAUUGACAUAUGGAGACUAUCCCCAUAGCAUGCGAUCUUUGGUUGGAAAACGUUUACCCAAGUUCUCAAAGGAACAAUCCGAGAUGUUAAAAGGGUCAUAUGAUUUUCUUGGAUUGAACUACUACACUGCCAAUUAUGCAGCCCACUCUCCCCAUAACAAUAGCAUAAACCCCAGCUACUCCACCGAUGCUCAUGUUAAACUUACAAGUAGGUUUGAUCAUAUAUAUACAUAUAUUCUUUUUCCUUUUUACUUUACAAUGUAAUUGAUGGUUAUGACAUUAUAUUUUUGGUAAGCAGCUGAGCGACAUGGCAUCCUUAUUGGUGCAAAGGUAUGAUGUAUCAGCAUAAUCUUUUUGUUCUUUGUGAACAUGAAAAUAAGAAAGAUAGCAAAUAGUUCAAAUUUUUGUUUAGUAGUUUUGUUUGAAAAACUGUUUCCUACAUAGGUGUUCGUCUUCUUAGAAUAUGAGAACAAGGAAAAUUAAUACAAAUAUGUAAUAUUGGAUUCUAAUCAUCUACAUUCAUUUCCUUAAAAUAAUGUUACAGUCGGCCUCGGAUUGGCUUUAUGUUUAUCCAAAAGGAAUUCGAGAAAUUCUAUUGUACACAAAGAACAAGUACAAGGAUCCAAUUAUAUACAUCACAGAGAAUGGUAACCAAUUAUAUAUAUAUUUCAAGUAUUCAAUAGAUCCUAAUUUAAGACAAUAAAAAUCAAAAUAUUGAAAAAUUUUCAACUAUUUUGCAGGGAUUGAUGAGGCGAAUAAUGAUGAAUUAUCACUCGAAGAAGCCCUAGCAGACAAUGUGAGGAUAGAUUUCUACUAUCAUCACCUUUCUUUCCUUAAGAGUGCAAUUGAGUAAGUGCUUCAAAAUUAAUUAAUUAGAUCCAUUUAGUAAUGCUAUACUUUCUAAGUAGAUGCAUUGAACUCCUUUAUGUAACAUAAAGAUAAUGUGACAUUUUACUAUAUAUAUUAUGCAUACAAGUAAGAUGUAUGCUAUUAAGUAUUGUGAGUUGAUUAAUAUUUAUAAUGUUAUCAUUCAUUAUAGAGCAUUAAUUUGGAACAAUUGAGAGUUUAACUUUGAAUAAAAUUGUAAAAAAAUAAAUAAGAAAUGUAGAAGUUGAGCAUUUUCUACUAGGGCUAGGGUUUUUGUUGCAUAAAUUUGUAGAAGAUUGAUGCUUAUAUGAUAUGGCUCAUUGUAGGGAUGGUGUCAAAGUAAAGGGAUAUUUUGCAUGGUCAUUGUUGGAUAACUUCGAAUGGAGUUCCGGUUACACUGUUCGAUUUGGCAUAAACUUUGUUGACUACAAAGAUGGAUUGAGAAGACACCCAAAACUCUCAGCACUCUGGUUCAAGAAUUUCCUUAAAAAGUAGAAACAUAUAUAUAUAUACCUUCUUAUUAUAUGUAUUCUCUAUAAAACUGGAUUAAAUAUCCAAUCAAUAAGUGUUAGCAUAUUCCCUUUCAUUGUAUAUAUUCACUAUAAACCACAUAUAUCAUAUGAAUAAGUAAGGGAUUGUGUACUUUCUAUGUUUUUUUAAUAAUGUUUAUGUUGCAUUUAUGUAUCCAAAAGUAAUAAUUUGUUAACCCCUCUUGCUCCCAUUUCAUCAUUCUCACAUUAUAAAUAAUAUCUUCAUUAGUUGUAAUUUUGUUCCUUUGAAAAGUAAGAAGUAUGAUAUUAUUACCUAAUAAGGGUAGAACACAAAUAUGCAACUAUAUUAGCAGUUAGUUGAUUUGACUCCUUUAUAUACUAGGACUUAUAAGUGGUAUUUUGCUUAUGUACUAUCAGUUUGGAAUUGUUUAUGUACUAUGUGCCUUUUAAAUGGAUAUGAAACAAAUAAGAUGUUCAUUGGAGAUGCCUGGUUAUAGAUGGAAGCUUUCCUAUUUAUUUCUUAGACACAUGCAUUACAUAAAUGUGGCAACAUGAAAAAAUAUGAAGGUGUAAGUGUGUCAGAGGACUGUUGUGUUUGUCCAUGGUGUCCAACAUGGACAUGGCUCCUCUGUAGAAGUAUUGUUGCUGCAUUUUUUAGGGCAUAUUGCAUUGCAUAUAUGCUUUAUUUCCUAGGAAAAAAAAAACAAGAAGAAGAAAAUUGGUAACUUUGGAAAUUUGGCAGUUUCUGUACAUCCUAAUAUUUGGAGUUUAGAAGGAUCAUUUGAUACUUAGAACAUAUCUGCACCCUGAACAUGGACCCAAGUCCAUGUAACAUUGGUUCAUAGAAAUUUGAAAGAUACACGGGAUACUGAAAAUAACAUAUUUUUAACAUGAGAAGUUAAAAUAUUACUUGUGAAUUUGUGAUAAUAUCAGGUCUAGAAUUUGUGCAACAUCUUGUACUUGAAGGGUAUGAUUUGGUCAUCCACUAUACUGGUAGGGGCCAAGUGUUUAGGCACCAAAGUAGUGUUUGUUUGCUAGUAAAAAAGGAUGAUUUGUUGUUAGAAGCAUGCUUAUAUAGGGUUUGUUUAAACUAAAUUGGUGAAUCUAUGCUGUUAUAAAUAUCCACAUGACAAUAGUGUGAAAAGGAAAAUGGGGGAUAGAAACAAAAGUUUUUCAGAGAACUACAUGAGUGGGAAAUCUAUGCUGGUAGUUUUGUCCUUGGGACACCUUCCUUGGUGUUUUAACAUUGCUGGGACACACUUGUAUUAUCACAAUGAUGAAAUAGCAAUCGUUAUUAUUGCUAAUGUAACUUGAUUGCUGAGAGGACUGAAAGUUAAAGUGUAUAUAUUUGAAGUGGCAUUAGCCUCUGAAAGAACAUAAUAAAUGAUCUUAAAACGGCUUCCUAAUUCUUGAUGACAGCCUGUGUCUCGUCUAGGCUUGAUGAACCUAGCUCUGUUUCAGUUGAGUGUUAUAUGAAGCACAUUCCUAGGAUAUUAACAGGCUUCAAGAUUGAGAUUAUAAGGGUGAUACUGUUCUGGUGCAUGUAAAAUCAUAAAAGGGAAUGAUUUUGAUUUUCUUGUGAUAUCUGUACCCUCUAAAUCAACAGCAAUUUGCAUAUGCACUUCCUGGUUACCAUAGCACAUGUGUUUGUUCUAUUCAGGGCUCUUUGUAUUAGUUUGAAUUUCAAUCCAUCUCCAUGGAUUUCUUAGAGGAUGCAUUUGGUUUGAAGUUAUUUUGUUAAUUAUUGAAAUUUAUUAUCUUGAGAAAGCACUUAGCUUAUCCUCUUGGUUUUCAUCCGUAAACCUGACACAGGACAGUGUGAUGUUCCAUACAUUUUAGUGGCUCACUAUCAUAUAGAUGCUGUAUAUAUAAUGUGUCAUAAAGGGGGAAAACCCUGGUGCAGAAAGACAUACAACUAGUACCCAAUGCUAAAGGAGAUUUAUUUGUGCUGAAAAAUCAUAAAUCGAUUAUCAACCAAGAGUAAAACCUGCAGUUAUGAACUGCAAUGGCGUGAAAUUAAAUUUUGCAGAUCAGCUUUCUCUUCUCAUUUGAUCAACUUGCACAUUGGUCUGUGCUGUGUAUGCUUCGUAGAGCUCUGCAAGUGAGUAAAGCAUCCUUGAAGUUAUAUAGCUUUCCCAUUUAUUGUUAUUACUCUCCCUCUGAGUCUCUAUCGGCUAGAUUUGGUAAUGUUUUGCAGAUUGCUGAAAGUUUUGAAUGACAUUGAUGAACUUUAGUAUGACCCAUUUGGUCUUUUUUUUUUUCUUUUCGCUCCAUUCCUCUGGUGUUUGGACUUUCAUGAGAGAUCAUAUAAGACCUUUCAUCCCCAUUUCUUGGUUUCUGUUGAACCCAGAGUUUAGACGAUCCAAUAGCCAAGGAUCAGCUAUUCCAGUUGCUGCUGGAAUCAGGCCCCAACAUGAACCCACGUUUAAUAAAGUGGUUGUGUUCUUGCAGUUUACCGAGACCCAGUUAGGUAUGCAGGUCCUAGGAUCAACAUAUCCAGUAACUAAGCAACAUAGAUCUACCAAAAAGUGGCGGGUCUGUCUUAGAAUGUCGAUUUCUAUUGAAACCCAUAUCAAUAUUCUUGCAACCAAUCCUGCAGGUAUUCCUGUUCUUGUUCAAAAUUAGCUGAACAGGCCCAUCUUAUAUCUGCCCAAUGCUUCAUACCCUCAUAGAUAAAAGUUGGUCCAAUCGCAUAAGUUUCUGGUAAAAAAUUACAUCUUGCCCAUCAGGCUCUCUAGUCUUGUUAUAUUAUGAAUUAUGAUUCCUUCAUAGAAGUGCCUAAAUCAUCUUCAAAUCUUGCUUUAUUAUUCUCCAGAAGAGUAUGUAAUCUAUCCACAUACAAUCGUUGAUUAAGGUGCGGUUUUUUCUUCCAUUUACAGGAAUCAGCUUCUAGAUUUCUGUUGACUGAGACUUUCAUGUCUCCAUAAAUUUUUGUUUCUUGAUGACCGCUGAUGGAGACCCCUCGUGUUGGUUUCCCUUUGCUUGUUUAUGAUCACUUUGUCCAGAUGCACCUUCCUCCGAUCAUACCACAAGCUUCCACUUGUAUGAUGCGUGAUUUUAGAUAGUGUUUUUAAUUUUUCAAGUAUUAAAAAAUUUUAAAAUAUUUUUCAUGUACGCAUAGUCUAAUUUAUAAGAGUUUCUCAAAACAUUAAAAGAUUAUGUUUAAUACUUGAAAAAUAAAAAAAAUAAAAAAAUAGAAAAAAAAUCUAAAAAUUACUUUCUUAUAUUUGAUUUAUCAUACAAAAUAUUUAUUAAUAUAAAUAUUAUUUAAAUUAAUUAAUAAUUUAUAUAUUUAAACUAUUUAAUUUUUUUUUUCAAAAAAAGCUUUUGGAUAAUUUUUUUCACUAUUUAUUUAGACCACUGAUUUAGAACAAUAUAAAUAUAGAAUUAAUUCAAAUAGAAAAUAAUGAAAAAAUAAUUGAAUAAAUUCUAACUCAUGUCUCUUAGAAGAAAAACCCAAUCAAUAACCCUUGAGAUACGCAGAUUGGAUUUGAAAGAACGUAAUUUUCUGACUUGCCAAUCAGUCCAUUCUUGUGGUGGGUGCCACACUUAAUUUCAUCCCUUUCAUAUAUAUGUGGAAGUCAUAUCAGCAUUUUGGAAUUUUAGGCAAGUUGUGAAGGAAAAUUAGCCCUAAAAAUUAAAAUAAAUAAAAAAGUUUUUAAUUAGGUUCAAAAAUUGCUUGUACAAAUUUUUAUUUUAACCUCCGUGGGAUGCAAACUUCGGAGUACUGAUCGUCUCACAACAACCAAUACCAAGUAAAUUUAGAGUAUCAUUAGUGACAAAAUUUGAACCCAUUUUUUAGUAUUCAUCUUGACCAAUUGGACUAUUUUGAUGGGUUUUAAAUAUUAUAUAAUUAAAAUUUUAUAAUUUGUCAUAUGUGGGAGGCCGGAUUCUCUUCCCCUCCUCACCCCACUCACGCUCCACGACAACUCAAGGUUCUUGAUUUGAGGUCAACCCUAGAUGAAACCCUAACUUUAUUAUAUCAAACAAAUUGAAAACAAAUAAUAACAUAAGAUAUUAAACUAUUAAAUAUAAUAAUGGGUUGGUUUAAUAAAUCGGAUUAAACUUAUGGGUAUGAAGACUUAUAUGAAGAAUUUAAUUUAUUAAAUUGGAUGAAUUGAAUUGUAUUCAUCCCAAUCUACUUGCAUGUGAACUUUGAGGAUAUUUUUUUCUCAUGGUUUGGAGGUCACCUUGUCCUAUCUCUCAUUUUCUUUUGAUCUUUAAAAAAUAAUUCUAUUUCUCUAUUCUUUUUCUAUAUAAAGGAAGAGACCAAGGCAAGAGGCAAAGGAGGAUAAACCACAUGGCAAUGCAAGGCUAUUUUAUCUUAAGACUUUUUCUUCUUCUUCUUCUAAGCUCAGUGGGCAUUAUCAAAGCUUCUGAUACACCAAACUAUGGCACUGCUUUGCUCAACAGAAGCAGCUUCCCGGAGGGUUUCAUUUUCGGGACGGCGUCGGCAUCUUACCAGGUGAUGGAUUCAUAGGUUUAGGCUUGUUGAUCUGCAAGUGUUUGCUCAUGUUUUCUUGGUCUGGUUUCUCAGUAUGAAGGUGCUGCAUAUGAAGAUGGUAGAGGACCUAGUAUAUGGGACACUUACACUCAUAAAUAUCCAGGUUAUUUAAUUUCUCUCCAAAAUCAACCCUAUAUGAUGAGCUCAAAAAUUGUGGAAUAUUAUGGUUUUCCUUUUCUUUUUUUCCUUUUUUUUAAGGUUUUUUUUGUUUUUUUUUAUUUUUUUUUAUUUUUUACCUUCAUGGUUUCAUAGCAUUUUGGUUAAUAUUUUUAUAGGGUUUGGUUUUAUUAAAAAGCAUGAUAAGCACAUUAAACCCAAAUCUGCAAGUUUAAACUUUUAGGAAAAUUGAUAGUUUAAAAAUGGUUUGAGUCAUGUCUCUGCAAUAUGCUCGUUUGUUCCCUAUUCGAUAUUUGUCUUUGUUUGUUGGAUAUGACACAUACAGAUAUGAAAUCGCACGUAAGAGAAAGUAUUAGGAAACAUGAUAUGCAUAUUAAGCCUAAAUCCUUCGAUCGUAGGCUUUUAGGAAAAUCAAUAAUUUAACAAGUUUAAGUUCCAUGAAAAUGAUGAUACUGCAAUUAGGGUCCUCUUGUGAGAUCAUAGGCCUUGGAUGAAUAAGCUAAAUUAAUUGAAAUCUUGGUAAAAUUGUUAUUUUUAUAAAUAUUUUUAAUUUUAUUUAUUUUAAAAUUUCUAAGUCCAAAAUAUUUUGUCAUGUGACCCAAAUUAAUGAAAAUUUCUCAAACUAUAUAUAUUUCGAAAAAUAUUUUUCUGAUUUCAUAUGGUAAAAUACUUAUCAUUGUCUUGAAAUAAUUUUAUUAAAAAAAACAAAAGCUCACCAUAAUUUUAUUGCUAAAAAAGAAAAAAUAAUUUUUAAUAUAUUAUUUAUAUAUUUAAUAUCAAUAAAAUUAUUUUCAUAACUUUUAUCAUUAUUCAGUUGAAAACAUGCAUGUACUAUUGCAGAAUCCAUAGGUCUUCUUGUCCAUUAUCACUAUUAUUCUUCUUGUUGGGUUUUUUUUUUUUUUGGAACUGCUUGCAAAUGAGUAGAUAGAUGCCUUUUCCCGUACUUUUCAAAAGUCAAAUCCAAAAACAGUAAAAUUAAAAAACCCUAACCCUACCCCACCUUUGGUGGACUGCACCCAAUUUGUCCAUUUGUAAUCUUUUUUUUUUUAAAUCAAAAUAGGAACAACAUCAUACUUUCCACAAUAGAAAGUUUAAGAGAUCAUAUUUUGAGAAAGUAAAUAAAAUUAGUUUUUAAAUAAACUUUUGCACCACUAAUUUUUUUAGUUACUCAAGUGGUUCACUUACACCAUCAAUUUACAGAAAGGAUAAAAGAUGGAAGUAACGGAAGCAUAGCUGUUGAUGUUUAUCAUCAUUAUAAGGUAUGAUGCAUGAUGUAUCUUUAUGAUUGAUUUUUUUAUUUUUUUUAUUUUUAGAUUAUAUUAUUUAGAACUUAUGACUAAGCCAAAAGUUUACUUCGAAUUGUUUCAAAUUAUUACAUAAUUUUGGAAAAUGCAGGAAGAUGUAGGGAUUAUGAAGGGAAUGAAUCUUGAUGCUUAUAGGUUCUCAAUCUCGUGGUCUAGAAUAUUGCCGAGUAAGAUUAUUAUUUACACUUUUGGUUUUUUAAUUUCUCUAGUUUUUAGGUGUGUUUGUAUGAAAUUUUUUAUGGGAAGUAAGGACUUAGAAAUGAUAAAAGUCUCCUUUUAAUAAUUUUAUUUUUCAAAUUCAAUAUAAGGAUCUACAAUAGCAAAAGUUUCAAGGCAUUGCCCCAAUUAUACUUAUGCUAAAUUUGAUGCCUCUAAAAUAAUAAGAAAAAAAGGAAGUAAAUGUUAAAAAAUAAAAUAAAAUCUACCCAUUUUACACAACCAAAGAAAGUACAUUUUUCCAUUGUAUAAUUUUUUUUUUAUUAUGAAUAAUUAAACAAGAGAAAUUUUUAAAAAAUUUCAUUUUUUUUUUCUUUCACCAAAGUAGCCUCAAUCAAAUUGAAUGAUGAAGUGAUGUUAAAAUUUUGAGGGCUUAGGUAAUCUCCAUGCUCCCAAACACAUGGAAUUCUAACCGGUAUCAUUUUCCCAUAUUUUUUGAGCCAUCAGAUGGAAAGCUAAGUGGGGGAGUGAACAAGAAGGGAAUCGACUAUUACAACAACCUCAUCAAUGAGCUUCUAGCCAAUGGUCCAUAUUCAUUCUCAUCAUUCAUCGAUUUUAUUGCUUAUUCGUAUGGCUAAAAAUUAAUCUGAUUGUUCCUUAUCAUGAACAGGCAUUCAACCUUUUGUGACCAUUUUCCAUUGGGACCUCCCUCAAGCCCUAGAAGAUGAGUAUGGUGGUUUCUUGAGUCCCCAUAGUGUGUAAGUGACUCACUUUUCUUCCCAUGUUCCAUCAAUCUUAGUCGAUGGCCAGGAAUAGCAGUCGAACCACAAAUUUCUAAACACCUCAGAGAACUGACUUUGAAAAAUGUUUUAAAGAUUCAAACCCUAUCAUCAAGAAUUGUUUGUUGAUAUAAUGUAUUAGGGAUGAUUUCCGAGAUUACGCGGAGCUUUGCUUUAAAGAGUUUGGGGACAGGGUGAAGCAUUGGAUAACAUUAAACGAGCCAUGGAGCUAUACCAUGGGUGGUUAUGUGCAGGGGAUAUUUCCUCCUGCUAGAUGUUCUGCAUGGCAAGGGCUGAAUUGCACUGGUGGGGACUCAGGGACUGAGCCCUAUUUGGUGUCACACCACCUACUUCUUGCCCAUGCAGCUGCUGUCCAUGUCUACAAGCAAAAAUAUCAGGUUUCAUUCAAAACCCUCCAAAAAUCGAACUUUUAAUGACAUUUCAGUGAAUAAUACUAAACCGAUAUGAUUAAUUCAUUAUGGAAUAAUUGCAUGCAGGCAUAUCAGAAGGGGAAGAUCGGAAUCACAUUGGUGGCGCCCUGGUUUGUACCAUUCUCGAAUGCGACUCACCAUCAGAACGCGGCGAAGCGGGCUCUUGAUUUCAUGUUUGGAUGGUGAGUACUGCAUCAAUCACAUGAGCGUCCAUAGUACCAUGGAGGUAGGGCAUCGCCAUAACAUUUCCCACCAGUGGAUUUUGCUAUGAUGCAUCCCAAUACUGUGCCAUAUGGUGCAAAUGUACAAACAGAUGCCCACUUCUUUAAUGGGCUUCACAUGGGCCAAAAUGACUGUGAGUCAUGUCAUCAAGACCCAUGAACAGUGCAAAUAUAUGAAUCUUUGAUGUUUGUUGUAGGUUCAUGGAUCCAUUGACUAAUGGAGACUAUCCUCAUAGCAUGCGAUCGCUUGUUGGAAGCCGAUUGCCUAAGUUCUCUAAGGAGCAAUCCAUGAUGGUAAAAGGGUCAUAUGAUUUUCUUGGAUUGAAUUACUACACUGCUAAUUAUGCAGCCUAUGCUCCCCACUCUAGUAAUACAAAACCUAGCUACACAACGGAUCCUUAUGCUAAUCUUCUGAGUAAGUCUAAUCAAAAUCGUUAUGUAUAUUCAUUCAUUUAAAAGUAAAUCGAUACUUGUCAUCCAUACAUGUUAUUGUGGUGUGCAGCUCAACGGAAUGGCAUUCCUAUCGGUAUAAAGGUAUGAUGAUGCGUUAACACUUACUUGAAGUUCAAAAAAUUAAACAAAAAAAAAAACCUACUUUUAGCUUAUGUUUGAUUUUUAAAAAAUUUGAAAGAAAAAAAUAGAAAAGAAAAAUAAAAGGAAUGAAAAGAGUAAGGGGAGUUAUGAAUUUUUUUCUCUUAGUUGAUUGCAAUAGGAAAGUUGAGGGAAAGAAGUUUAAUUGUUGAGAAAUACAUUUUUUGAAGGCUUUUGUUUCAAAAUUAAAAUAGAGGAAAAUCUUUUAUGCUAUGUUUGAUUCUUAGAAAAUUUGAUAGAAAAUGCAAAUGAAAGAAAAUAUAAAGGAAAAGUAGAAGAAAAAUAAAAAAUAGAUUAAAAGUCGAUAAAUUAUUUUUAUUUAUUACUUCAAACUUAUUAUAUUUAUUUUAACUCAUCGAUAUAAAAAUUAAAUAAUUUAAAAAUACAUAAGUUUCUAAUUAGUUUUAAUUAGAUUUGAUUUUCUUUGAUAUUUUUUAAAGGACAACCAAACAUAAAAAAAUAAAAAAUCAUUUUCUUUUACGUUUUUUUUCUCUCCUUAGUAUUUCUGGGAAUCAAACAUAACCUUAGUAUUUUCUUCGAUUUUUUCUUUUUUUAACAAACUAAACAUAGUCCAAAGAGAAGAUAUUAAAUGAUAGAAGUUUGAAAUAUUUAUGACCUUAAUGUUACGUUCUCAUAAUUGACUAGCUACCUCCAUUUCCUUGAAACAAUUUUGCAGGCAGCUUCAGAUUGGCUCUAUAUUUAUCCAAGUGGAAUUCGAAAAAUUUUGUUGUACACAAAGAAGAAGUAUAAUUCUCCACUUAUUUACAUUACAGAGAAUGGUAAUCAACUUAAUGAAUUUCGGGUACUAUUAAUUAAUUACUGCUUUGGUAUCAAUAAGAAUCUAAAUAUCGAUAUUUUCCCACUAUUUUGCAGGAAUUGAUGAAGUGAAUAAUAGUACAUUAUCACUUAAAGAAGCCCUUGUUGACAACUUAAGGAUAUACUACUACUAUCAUCAUCUUUCUUACCUUAAGAGCGCAAUCAAGUAAGUGCUUUAAAAAUAACUAAUUCGAUUCAAAUCAAGUAUCGAAUUGUUUUUUUUGGGUAUAAAUAUAUAAAUCACUAACAAUUAAUAUGUGUUGUUAAGUAUAAGAAUGACAACAAGUAUUUUCAAGGACCAAUUGCACCCCACCUAUAAACCUUUUUAUAGGACAUAUUUAGGAGUGACCUAAUUGGAUCUAGAAUAAGUUUUAUUGUCUGUUUUUUAAACUUUAGGGGUUCAAUUAUUAUGCCACCUCCUUUGAACCCAUUAAGAUUAUAUAUAAAUUUUAAAUUAGCUUUUUAAACAUUUAUAAUAUAAAAAAAUACAUAUUCACUUUUCAUAAAAAAAUAAUGCAUAAAAUUUAUUUCCAAAAUAUAUUUAUUUAAUAUAAUAAAAAAUAAAAUUGUAAUUAAAUCCUUUUAAAAGGAUUAGGGCACAAUCGCAUGAGAAAAAUCCAAAUCCACCCAUUCUACUACUCAUAUUUGGUGUAGGGAUGGGAAUCCAUAUCAAUAAUCAAGAUAAGAUCACUUUGGGGAUUUAAUACCAAACACGUCCUAUUGGCAUACCUAGUCAAGUUCUAUUAUUUAGCUUAAUAUGUAUUAUUUAUCCAUUCUUUAUAGGUUAAAUUUAUAGAUUAAUCGCUAUUUUAACUUUAAGGAUGUACUAUAGAAAAAAAAGUUAAGGUUUCUUGUCUUAUAUUUACAAAAGAUCAUCACUCAUACGGUAUGAUUCUUAAUUUGUAGGGAUGGGGUCAAUGUGAAAGGAUAUUUUGCAUGGUCAUUAUUGGACAACUUUGAAUGGAAUUCGGGUUAUACAGUUCGCUUUGGUAUAAACUUUGUUGAUUAUAAAGAUGGAUUGAAAAGAUACCCAAAACUCUCAGCAACUUGGUUCAAGAAUUUCCUCAAAAAGUAAAAGCAUAUAUGUGACCACCUUUACUAUAUAUACAUUUUCUAUUGAUGUUUUUGGAUAUAAAAUCAAUAAGCAGAAGAUCUCUUCUUCUAUGAUAUGUAUUCAUGGCAGAAUCCAAUCUUUGAGCUGCUAGAAGAAUAUGUUUAGGUGUAUUUGUGACAGUAUUAGAUUGCAUGUGUGUUGGCAAGAAUUCAGAAAAAAAUUAGUGAGAAUAAUGAAUUGACCUUGAAGUUAAAAUUUUUUCAUAUUGAAUGACACAUAUAAAUUAUCAAUGUUUAUGUCACAAACUAUAUAUCACGUGAUAAUAAUUUUGUUUGUUUACUAGAUUUUACAUCAAAAUUAGGUGAACAAUCUCUCCCAAUUAAAAUUGACAUGCUUCCUUUGCUAUUCUUAGUCAACAAUUAAUAAAAUUAAUUUAUUUAAUAAUUAUACCAUUUUAAGGCUAUGUUUGAUUUUUAGAAUAUUUGAGGAAAGAUGAAAAGGUAAAUAAAAUAUAAAGAAAAAAAAUAAGAAGAAAGAAAAAGUGAAGGAAAAUAAAAAAAAAAUAGAUUUAAAAUUAACAAAUUAUUUUUAUAUAUUGUUUCAAAUUUAUUUAACUUAUUUUAAUUCUUAUGUAGAUUAAAUAAUUCAAAAAAAAGUAUAAGUUUCUUAUUAAUUUUAAAGCCAAAUAUGAGAAAAAAAAAAUUUCUUUAGCAUUUUUUCUUUCCUUGAUACUUCCUGGAAACCAAAUGUGAUGUUUUGAAGAAAAAUUAGCCUUAAAAUGUAAUGUUCUAAGAAUUAGAUCGUUAAUCAAAUCUCUUUUUAAUUUAAUUCACAUUUUAAUUCGAUUUUGGAUCAAAGGCCAUUUGAUGGUGUUUUUAAAAAACAUUUAUAGUAAAAAAAAAAUUGAAGAAAAAUUAGAUGUUUAAUAAACUUUUAAAAAGUUAUAAAACUAUUUGUAAUGCUUUCUGUAGAAGCACUUGAUAGAUAACUCUUCAAAAAACGCAUGUAGAGAAUAUACUUCAACAAUGAAAAAGACUUCCAAACACAAUUUGAUUCUUAUGCAAUAGUUUUUUUUUUUCAUGAGUGCAUGCAAGGCUCCAAGGUAAAAUGGAGACAUUCAAUAGUCAUUAGGCCAAGUUAAUCUUGUUAUCAUAUUGUAUAUGAUUUAGUAUAAUAAAAUAGAACUGUACUAGUUUGAAUUGGAUGAACCCUUGCAAUUUUAAAAAGUGUAUGUAUGGUUAAGAUAAAUUAACUACUUAUAUGGUGUUAGAAAUUCCUUUCCAUAUAUAUAUAUAUAUAUAUAUAUAUAUAUAUAUAUAUAUAUAUAUAUAUCCUCUUAAUUACAUGAAUGUGCCUUAAAAUCGUUAAGGUCAUUGGGCUCAAAAUAGCCAAUAUCUAUACAAAAGGGAGCAAGUCGUUAUAAAUGAUAUCAAUCAUCUCUAUUAAUCCUGACUCAACCCGACCUUGAUGUGAGACUUUGCCUAUUCAACCCUUAAAAAAUGUUAUGAGUUUGACUUCAUGACCUUAUAGGAUAAGGUAAUUGUAUUUGCAUGUAAGUUGAUCAUGAUACUUGGCUAAAAGAAAAAAAAAGUUUAUGGCAUUAUUUAUAUGAUAAAACUUCUUUUAAUCAUAUGGAUGCAUUUUAAAAUCGUGACCAUCAUUGACCUUAAAGCGAACAAUGACUUCUUUUAAAUGUGAUUGGACAGUUAAAUGUUAUAUUUUUAUUAAUUAUAUUUAUUAAAAAAAAGGAAAAUGUAUUUCCUAUUUCCUAUUUUAAAAAUAAUAAAAAUGUCAUUGUUUAUGACUUUAAUAAAGAUAAAAAUUCCAUUUAAUAUCUCCCAUGCACUGAACUUUAUUUUUAAAUAUUAGAAGUAUAAACAUCAUGUUAUCUAGAAAAUCCAUUUCUUAGGCAUUAAAUUCUCAUUUUCAUUUAGUUUUAUAAUUUUUGACAUUUACAAUCCCUUAAUUAUCAUUUUAUAUAUGAUUUUUAUUUAAUAGUUUCUUCAAUUUAGGGAUGAGGUUUAUUUUUUUAUUCAAUUUUAAUCGUAUAUUUAUUUCAAAAUUUUUUUUUUUUACCUAAUUUUAAAUCAAACUUAAAUGUGUAAGAAAAAUUCUUUCAUCAUCAAUUUGAGAUACCAUAAUCACUUUUAUGUAAAUAUGAUGUCCUCGACACAUCCUAUGAGAUCACGAGGCUAGUUAGAGCACUCACUUUAACUCUCACAUUAAGGUUUAGAUCGACUCUAAUACUAUUUAUAAUGACACAUUAUACUUCUAUUUGGAUCAACUUUCAAGAAGUCAUUUGUUUUUGUUUUUAAACUCAAUAAAGACUUUUAAUAAAAGCCAAUAUAAAAACCAAAAAAAUGUUGCUUUUAAUAAAAUUCUCGUAUGUUUAAUAAAACUUUUAUAAUACCAAUAUUAUCCCUUAAAAAUUAUAAUUUGAAACCUCAACUUCUAACUAAAGUGAAAAAUAGGAAGUGAUUUGACAAGAGCCCAAUAUAUGCAUAGUUAGAAUUUUACUACAUAUAUAAUGUUAGACAAUAUAUCCUUAAAUAUGAUGAAUCAAACAUUUUUAUAAGGGUUAAUUUAAUAUCCCAUCCAGAUUUGAUGCAAACAUAUUUUAUGAUCAUUGAUUUCAAAUUUUUUUAGUUAGUACUCGUCUUAUCAAUUUAUUUUAUAUAUAUAUAUAUUUUAGUAAAAUGGAAAAAGUAUAUUAUGGGCUGCUAAUCCCAAAAUUCAUUGCCCUACUUUUCAAAAUUCAAGAAGCAUACACUAAUCUAAAAAAUUAUUAUGUUUACAUGUGCUAUGUAUGCCCUUUCCUAUCCUCCGGAUCAACUUGAAAAAACGCAAUCAAACAAAACGAAACUCCCUCCAUUUGCUUCAUCUCCCAAGAAUUGAUCUCCGUCUCGAAACCAAACCCUAACCUUCCUUGUUUUCCUCUUAUUUUGGAAACCCGAAAAACCCUAACCUUCCUUGUCUUCCUCUCAUUUAGGAAAAUCGAAAAACCCUAACCUAUUCCUCUCAUUCCGAAACCUCUCCACCUCGUUUUCCUCUGAUUCUAGAAACCCGAAAAACCCUAAUAAUAAUGAAGCAGCUUCAUAGGGUUAGAAUGUACAAGAGACUCAAAGAGUGCGCAACGCCCGGUUCCAUUGCGAAUCUCGAUCUUUCUCUCCAUAUCUGGCCGGCGGCGAUCUCUCAUAAUCUGAGGUCAAUCAAUCGUAUUUUCAGUCUAGGGUUUUCGGAAUUCGGUUAUAGUAUGUUGAAUUCUCUUCGUUUUGAUUGGCGUUCAAGAAAGUGGGGAUCUUUGUUUGGUUCUCUUCAUAGCAGAGGAAAGAAAGAGAAAAUAGAUUUCUUUGGAAUAUUACAAUGGUGUAUAAGGGGCUUUGAAGCUGGAAGGCUCAAUCCUUCGAUUCUCCUGUCUGUCUGUGUAUACAUGGUGUGUAAUUCGGAAGCAAGAAAGCAAUGUCAGGGCCUCAAUGCUGCAAGAAUCCACCAAGCCUGAACCCGAACAGCGGAGCAGGGGAUGUGGAACAACUUGGAGGCCUUUCCUGUUAUAUUGCUGGCUUUCCUCAUUCCAAGCUCGCCAUUCAUGUGGUUUCUGACAUCCUUGGUAUCCUUUCCCCAACACCCACAUUCACCCCUGUGAAAACCCAACAAAAAUCAUCCUCACAAUUCUUGAAUCUACAGGAUAUUGAGAACACACCCACCUCCAUACCAAUCAACUCUAGAUCCCCCUAGACAAGCCUCGCGCAUUCAGAGCGCCCCACUCAAUGAAUCUGCCUACUCCAAUAAAGCAAACCAAACCAGUCGAUCCUGAACCUUAGUUUCUUGUAGACACACCAGGUCCACCCUCUAGGCUUUAACCAAAGACUUAGGACUUUUCUUUUGUCCAGGUCACUUGCCCUUUUCACAUUCCUAAACAUGAUUCUGAGCUUCAUUUACCACUUGAAUCAAAGACCGGCCCCUCCUUUCCUUGACCUCCACUACUUGAGCCUUUAAACUUGACUGAACAUUCCAAUCUUCUGAGUUCCCUCUCGAACUUUGAAGUACCGCCCCUAUCCCUACCAUUGCCAGCCACCUGACCAUUCUACUCCUUACUCAUCUUUAUUUUCUUAACCAAGGUUAAAAUCUCCACCUCAAAGCCCUUUGUGGGCAUGCCCAACCAAUCGGUAAACUGUGCAAGACGGUAGACCGGUCUUCGACACCUAACCUCUCAACCGCCACCCGACAUCAUCAGAGACAUCAUCGCAAAACCUAGUCACUGACUCACUACCGAAUCUUGAAUCACGCCAUUCUCACCCCCUGCCGAGCUCCCAUCAGUCCAAUAGAGUCUUAACGAAUGGAGGAGGGCUUCCCCUUCCAUUCCUUCCAAAACGAAGUCAACCCCAUCCACUUGACUCCUUUAGAUUCCCGAUCCCAAAGAGAAGAAGGAGAAGAAGAGAGGUCCCGCAACCCCAAAGGAAACAGAAGAGAAUGAGAUGAAGGAGGGCACCUUAGACGCCUCUUCCACUAGUGCUUCGUCAAUGCCCCCCAUCCGAAAGAACUUCGACAGACUUUGCUCGUUGAACCCUACAAAAGCUUCUACCCCAAGGAAUGAGCCCUAGGGAGUCAUCCUCUCUCCCACACUUAAUUGCUAAAGGCUCCAUAGCACUUAAACAACCACAACCCUUCUGGGCUUGGCCCAAACAAAGCAAACCCCCCAACUUUGGGCUAAAAGGCCAAUGGCCUUCUAAAGACAAUGGUCCUGUAGCCUUAUGGGCCUCACUCAGCACAUUUAAAC
rnacentral:lncRNA from 1 species